rnacentral:lncRNA from 1 species
CUAAGUGUGUACAUUGAACAGGCUGCCCUGUGCUUUCCAGGCAUCUGAUUUACUCCGUGACUCUGAUGCUUAUCAACAACGCGUGAAGAUUGCAGUAAGGAUCCUCCCUGGAAGGCGAGGAGGAGCAACUUCCAGGGGGCUGGGAGGAGGUGGAGUGCAGCGCGGCUCUCGCCUAUAAGGAGGUGCCCAGCGAGCGGCUGGUGCUUCCCACCCAGCCGCUGCU